AACUCAUAUCUGUCAGUAGUAAGAGGGUAUAUGGUUCGUCAAAUUGACAGGUAUCACGCCCCCUUUUACACGCCCCCUUUUAUAUCGCUUGAUAUAAAUUUUAUAUCGCUUGAUAUAAAUUUUA